rnacentral:miRNA from 1 species
AAAAGUUUUGGGUCAUAACAUA